UACGUAGGUGGCAAGCGUUGUCCGGAUUUAUUGGGCGUAAAGCGAGCGCAGGCGGUUACUUAAGUCGGAUGUGAAAGCCCCGGGCUUAACCUGGGAAUUGCAUUUGAUACUGGGUGACUAGAAUGUGGUAGAGGGUAGCGGAAUUUCUGGUGUAGCGGUGAAAUGCGUAGAUAUCAGAAGGAACAUCAAUGGCGAAGGCAGCUACCUGGGCCAACAUUGACGCUGAGGCGCGAAAGCGUGGGGAGCAAACAGG
rnacentral:rRNA from 1 species